rnacentral:lncRNA from 10 species
UUUCUCUACUCACCUGUCUCCGAAUCCGUCGUGGUGUUUCAAGCGAGUCAAGAUUCCAGAUCGCGCCCCAGGCUGGACUCGGAAUUACUGCCCCGCGGGUCUGCAUUUUCACAGCGGCAGGUGCAGUGGCGCCUAAAGUCUGCAAGGAGGAGGUCGCCUCUGUGCUGUUUGAGCAGACUUGAAGAGGAGAGAAACUGAGACACGCAGGGCUUGUGGUCCCUGACAAGGAGGACCCUGAGGGCAACCACACCUUGCCAUGCAGAGCACCUGGCUUCUCAUCUGCCAAGCUCACUCUGACCCGGCUGCAGGAAGGGAAGGAGCCAACCCCGGACUCAAGACUCAAGGGGACCAGAACCAGGGAGAUGAGACAUACCAGGGCUGGGCAGCUGUGGGGGUCCUUCCAGAGAGGAGCUGAGAUACGCCUACCUGGAGGGGCCCCUGGGCCUGGAGGGGCUCCUCAGUGUGACUGGGUGAAGUGUUUUCAGAGGACCAGGGUUGAGGUUGGGGGCAUCUCAUCCAGACCCUGCCGGCAUCUGCCCCAGAACCCAAGGGCCCCUCCUUCCUCCCUCCUCAAUGGAAAUGCUGGAGAUGUCCUCAGUCACCCUCUGAGCACUCACACAUCACCCCUUAUUUGGAAAUUUUUCUCACUCUAACCUUCCUUCCUGCCGCACCUUCUGCCCCAUCCCCAGGCUCUGGCCUCUCUCUCUCCUCUUCUACCCUUUAGCAGGUAAUGACUCAGUUCCCACUGAGGAGCCAGCUGUAGGUGAGAGUUUGGGCUCUCGGUGAGGUUGGGAGAAGGAAAAGGCUUAUGGGCCAGGGGGUGGGAGGGAGAAUGGGCACAGCCAGAGCAGAGUGGAAGGGUUGGGGGAGGCGAUAAAGACAGAUGUUUCCGUAUUACCAUUUUUCUUUCAUGGUCCGAGGGAGCUGCCCUUCCCCCAAGCCCAGGAAAGUGAAAAGAGAAGCAGGAACAGUAAAAUACUCCACAGGAAAGAAAAAUCUUAGUGAUCCCUCCUGCUGUCUCUUUCCUUUUGCCUAUUCUGGCAAAUUUUGUAAGUGAAAUUUGUUACCAAGAUGUGAAAAUCUUAUAAGAAAGUCUCUAAAUAUUUGAGAAUAAAAUUAUCAAUGUCUCAGCUCUGCAGGCUGAAAAAACGGAGGCUUUACAAAAUAAAAUCAUGCUUGGAAAACUUCUCCUCUGAGGGAUGUCAAAGGCUGCACUGAAUAAGCUCUAAGGUGGUGCUGAAAUGAGUCAUUUAUUUGCCUGUGUAAGCUCAGGCAGGUGUUGGAAUUGAGGAAGUAUAGGUAAUGAAAAAAGUAAACAUGUCCUCGGGACAUAGCGACUGGUGAUGACCACACAAUCAACACAAUAAACUCUAGCAUUCACAUUGUAGUCCAGCUCAUUCAAGCAAAGCUAUCUCCAAUAGGGAGUUUACCCUGUACAGAACACGUGCAUUUCCACCUGUUCUCAGACUGACCCUUUGCUCAUCACAAUAGUGAAAAAAAACACAGCCCUGGGUGGAGAUUUAAGAUGCUAAUGAGUCAUGAGAUGUAUGAACAAGCAUGUACAGCUACUGCACACGUGCACCCAGAAGACCGCCCAGAACAUGCUUGCUAGUAACACCUCUUCCCACCCACCUCCUGUGAAUAAUCAUGUAAGACUCCCAUAAAGGGAGUUUCUCCAGCAGUGAUCAAUGCUGUCUCAUCCUUAGGAGCAGCCCACCCUGAAUCCUCUCAGGGUGUACAGUUUAUUUUGCACUUAACUUUCAAAAUAAUAUUUUUCCUUUGUAAUAAAUUGCUUUGUACUUCAU